rnacentral:tRNA from 1 species
GGCGGUAGCUCAGUGGUAGAGCGCUUGCCUGGCAUCUAUGAGGCCCUGGGUUCAAGUUCUAGUACUGCUC